rnacentral:lncRNA from 10 species
GGUAGCGAGAAGAAGAAGGUCCAUUCUACCAUCAAUGAGGUGGUGACCCGAGAACACAUCAUCAACAUUCACAAAGGUGCCUGUGGAGUGAACUUCAAAAAGCAUGUGCCUCUAGAACUCAGAGAAAUCUGGAAAUUUGCCAUGAAGCAGGUGAGAACUCCAGAUGUGCAUAUUAGUAUCAGGCUCCACAAAGCUGUCUGGCCCAAAAGAUUAAGGAAUGUCCCAUACCAUAUCCAUGUGCAGUUGUCCACAAAAAAGUAAUGAGGAUGAAGAAUCACCAAAUAAGCUCUGUAUUUUGGUAGCUAUGUACCUGUCACAACCUUUAAAAAAUCUGCAGUCA